GAAAUGCGAUAAGUAAUGUGAAUUGCAGAAUUCAGUGAAUCAUCGAAUCUUUGAACGCACCUUGCGCUCCUUGGUAUUCCUUGGAGCAUGCCUGUUUGAGUAUCAUGAAAUCUUCAAAGUAAAUCUUUUGUUAACUCAAUUGGUUUCUACUUUGGUAUUGGAGGUCUUUGCAGCUGCACACCUGCUCCUCUUUGUUCAUUAGCUGGAUCUCAGUGUUAUGCUUGGUUCCACUCGGCGUGAUAAGUUAUCUAUCGCUGAGGACACUGUAAAAGGUGGCCAAGGUAAAUGCAGAUGAACCGCUUCUAAUAGUCCAUUGACUUGGACAAUACUUUUAUGAUCUGAUCUCAAAUCAGGUAGGACUACCCGCUGAACUUAAGC
rnacentral:misc_RNA from 1 species